UACGUAGGGUGCGAGCGUUAAUCGGAAUUACUGGGCGUAAAGCGUGCGCAGGCGGUUAUGUAAGACAGGUGUGGAAUCCCCGGGCUUAACCUGGGAACUGCAUUUGUGACUGCAUAGCUAGAGUACGGUAGAGGGGGAUGGAAUUCCGCGUGUAGCAGUGAAAUGCGUAGAGAUCCGGAGGAACACCAGUGGCGAAGGCGACACGCUGGGCCGUACCUGACACUGAUGCGCGACAGCAUGGGGAGCAAACAGG
rnacentral:rRNA from 1 species